GAUGAACGCUGGCGGCGUGCUUAACACAUGCAAGUCGAACGAGAAGUGAAGACGGAAACCUUCGGGCGGAAGGCUUUAUUUCGAGUGGCGGACGGGUGAGUAACGCGUGGGUAACCUGCCUCAUACAGGGGGAUAACAGUUGGAAACGACUGUUAAUACCGCAUAAGACCACAGCACCGCAUGGUGCGGGGGUAAAAACUCCGGUGGUAUGAGAUGGACCCGCGUUCGAUUAGCCAGUUGGCGGGGUAACGGCCCACCAAAGCGACGAUCGAUAGCCGAUCUGAGAGGAUGACCGGCCACAUUGGGAAUGAGACACGGCCCAAACUCCUACGGGAGGCAGCAGUGGGGAAUAUUGCACAAUGGGGGAAACCCUGAUGCAGCGACGCCGCGUGAGUGAAGAAGUAUUUCGGUAUGUAAAGCUCUAUCAGCAGGGAAGAAAAUGACGGUACCGGAGUAAGAAGCCCCGGCUAACUACGU
rnacentral:rRNA from 1 species